ACUGUUUAUAUACUACAUAUUGCUCUCUGUUUUUCAUACUAACCUUGUCCUUUUCUCUUAUAUUUUUCAGUGUGUAUGGUAAUGAUUGCCGCUUAUCCGCACCUACAUUAUAUUAUUAAAGCAGGUACCAAACACAUAACUACAGGGUUUUUAAACAAUCAUAAUAAUGAGCGCGAGGUUGAUAUCCAGCUUUCGUAUGUGAAGGUCGAGUUUACAGUGAAGAUCCAUUAUUACACCAGGAGUGUAGUCUUGAUGUGCUUUAAGGCUGAUUAUCAUACUCAUUUAUAUAAAUUUGAUGGUACUAUCGGUUGUAUGAGAAAAUCAUUUUAUGACGAUCGAUAUGACGAAGCACCUUCCAUGUCAAUAAUGUAAAUAUCAAUUGAGUUAAGAUGUUGGGGACGCGUGAGUUUCAUCAUCCACUGUAUAAAACAGGCAAUAGAGCUGUUCUUUAUUUCUUUUUUUAAUUGACAAAAUAAAAAUUAUUAAUCUGAAGACAAAACUAGAUAUAAAGUUUGUUGGUAAGUAUAUUCAGCUUAAAGUUAUUUUCUUGAGCUUAAUUGUAAAAGACAAAUGUAUAAAAUGAAAUAAAGAAAAUUAAACAG